ensembl:lncRNA
CUGGGAAUAAGUCCAGACUCAGUAUUCACUGCAUGAAAGAGGGGACAGGCUUAGAGACAGAGAUUCCUAGGAUUGGCACAGGCUUAGAGAAAAAGAGAGAAGGAAGAUUCUAGAAGAGGCAGGACGGGGUGGUGCUGGUUGGGCUCAAGAGUGAGGUUUCCUCAUAGGUCAGGAGAUGAGGAGGAGAGGGGAGUGAAGGCAUAAGAAAGGUGUUUGUGUAGUUGGGAAGGAGUUCAGGAGGCCAGUGCGGACCUGCUUGGACACGGGAGGAGAAGGUUGCGGGGAAGCUGGUGGUAUUGCCAGCCGCUAGGAGGGAGGGAGCUUUGGCAGUCCUGCCGCAGCUGGGAGAAGGCAGCCGCCUCUUAUCUUUAGAGGUCUUAAGAGCACGUGCUGAAGCUAAGUCACUUCAGUUGUGUCUUACUGCGAUCCCACGGACUGUAGCUCGACAGGCUUCUCUGUCUGUGGGAUUCUCCAGGCAAGAAGAUUGGAGUGGGUUGCCAUGCCCUCCUCCAGGGGAUCUUCCCAACCCAGGGAUCGAAGCUGUGUCUAUUAUGUCUCCUGCAUUGGCAGGCGGUUCUUUUCAAUAGCGCCACCUGGGAAGCCCUGAAGUGAAGCUGUUUCUGCCGAUUAAGAGCAGGUGGUGGUCCUUAGUUUGAGGAUUCUUUGGCGAACCUGUUCGGAGGCCACUGAUCUUUCCCCCCACAGAAAUGCAUGCUUGACUCUACAUCCCAACCUUUGGUGGAGGAUUUCGGAGUGGGGGAGGGUGGAUCCAGUUACCAUAGCAACACUAAUACUAACAGCUCACUCGAUGCUGGGCACUGGUCUAGGGUCUUCACAAGACCUGACUCCGUUACACACGUGGAGACUUAGGAGAGGAGCCACUGUUGCUCGUGGUAGCUGCGCCCUUUCACAUUCCCACCAACAGCGCACAGCGUCCCAGCUUCUUCACAUCCUUGCCAGCAAGUGUUGUGUGGUCUUUCCCCGACCCCACCCCACACUUAAGUGUUUGAAAUCCAGUGUGUAUUUUCCACUCAGAACAUCUUGUUGGACCAGCUCUGUUUCCAGGGCUAGAAAGUCAUGUGAGAGUGGACGGUGCAGGCUUAGACCGUUUGUGUUUGCCCUCGUUACUCAUGUGGCUGUACUGAGAUCUCCCAUCUUGCUGUUGGUUUUCAGUUUAUCUCC